AUUUAUUUCUCAGAUUUUCUGUUCGUCAAAUGAAUUGUUAGAACCAUUUGAGUACCACUUUCAAAACGGAGAUUCUGACAUACAGAAUGUUUAUUACAUAAGGUAUUCACAGCACCCACUUCAUAGAAGAAAAGAGUGACAGAUUCUUUAGCUCCAAUUCUGAGGUCUCCAAAUUCCAAGGCAUUACGAAGCCUUCUGCAACCACACUAAGGCUCAGAAUUGUGAGACCAGGUAGACGUUAUGACAAAGGACGUUGUGAGAGGAGCUCCGCUAGGCUAUGGAAUCUGCGGGUACGCCUAG